AUCAGCUGAUCAUGGACGACGAUAUAUUUAUUACUGAAGCCGAAGCCUUGGAGCUUGGAAAAUAAUUCGACAUCGAAACGUUUUGCAUAUGCAAGUCAAAUAACUCCACAGACCUGAUUUGCUGUUCGAUUGAUGACUGUGAAAUUAAUUUCUUUCACAGAAAAUGUGCAAGUGAACCACCCGUAAAUGAAGAAUGGACCUGUUUCACCUGUCGUGGCAUCCAACACCCACA
rnacentral:lncRNA from 1 species